rnacentral:rRNA from 1 species
UCCCCUAGUAACGGCGAGUGAAGCGGGAAGAGCUCAAAUUUGAAAUCUGGUGGCCUCAGGUCAUCCGAGUUGUAAUCUAUAGAAGUGUUUUCCGUGCUGGCUCAUGUACAAGUCCCUUGGAACAGGGCGUCAUAGAGGGUGAGAAUCCCGUCCUUGACAUGAACUACCAGUGCUCUGUGAUACAUUUUCAACGAGUCGAGUUGUUUGGGAAUGCAGCUCAAAAUGGGUGGUAAAUUCCAUCUAAAGCUAAAUAUUGGCGAGAGACCGAUAGCGAACAAGUACCGUGAGGGAAAGAUGAAAAGCACUUUGGAAAGAGAGUUAAACAGUAUGUGAAAUUGUUGAAAGGGAAACGAUUGAAGUCAGUCGUGCUCUUUGGAUUCAGCCGGUUCUGCCGGUGUACUUCCUUUGAGUGGGGUCAACAUCAGUUUUGAUCGCUGGAUAAAGGCUGGAGGAACGUAGUACCCUCGGGUAAACUUAUAGCCUCCUGUCACAUACAGUGGUUGGGACUGAGGAACGCAGCACGCCUUUAUGGCCGGGAUUCGUCCACGUACGUGCUUAGGAUGUUGACAUAAUGGCUUUAAACGACCCGUCUUGAAACACGGCA